AUUAACUUCAGUGAGCACAAGGACUGCAUCCAUAACUGUAAAUAUGAAAGUGUUUGUAUAGCUGAUGCAAUUCUAAAGGGGAUUUUUUUGAUGUUUUGAAGACAUAUUUUGUAUGAUAGGAGUAAUAUGCAGGGAAAGUCAACAGCUGUAAAUACAUUUUAGAACCAGUAUUUAGGGGAGGAGAAAUGACUUUGUGGAUGGUAUUUGAUUUUUUCCCCAACUUUUUUCUCCAUGCAUGUGCAACAAUCAAAUAGUUACUUAAAGAACACAAAUGCAGUUAUUUAAUUGUCUAUAUGAAGAUGACACUCAUGCUGUAAAUAAUGCAUUUUUCACAUGUUAAAGAGUCCUGUAGAAAUUAGUGGGAUUUAACUAUCCAUGUGUGUACAAUUUAACAUCCAAGGAGCUACCUUCAGGAAGCAUGUGUUAAAACACUGUUUGAGGCUGACUUUAAUCCUGCUGCCAUCAAUACCCCUGGAAAUUUUGUCAUGUAUUUUACCAGAAGCAAAAAUGAAUCUGUGUUGAAUUAGCUACUGACAGGUUAUUUUAUACUGAACAAAGGAGAGCUUUGCAUUUUCUAGUCAACAAAUGGAAAUGAAAUGUACUUACAGCAAAUGUGGUGAAGAAGAUCCAUAAAAGUAUUGUCAGUGUGGAAACAGAGCUAUGACUAUGAUUCUGAGAGUCCAUUAAAUAUUUUGGUUUAUUCUAUUCUGAUUUCAUAAACAGAGCUUUCUGGUCUCAGCAGUUCUAGUCAGACUUGAAAGUUAACCUCAAAACUGGCUUUGAAGCCUGAUUUCUGCAAAACUUUUAGGCCCUGAAAGUCAUUUGGCCAGACUACCAACUCUGAGAAACCACUUCGGGAUACCUGGGAGUGAAGAGCAAAAGCUCACUGUGUCUGCUUUCUGACACCUUUUAUUUGUUGUUGGACAUGGUGUUCUUUUUCCUUAGAUUUCAAUUUAUUCUUAGCAUAUGGAGGGUUCAUCAGCUGCCCUUGUGAUAUAUUGUCCUAUGUCCCAGACAGCCAGAGGGCAAAGCUUCCUGACUGUCAGGGCAGGUCCAGUACAGGAAAUUGAUUUCCAGCAUCCCAUUUCCCAGUCUGGGCCUGUGUGACUUCUAGAAGAGUGCUUUAGCCAAAGUGGCAUGGAUCAGUGGACAGUUUUCUGAAGUAUUCUCCUUAUUUCAUGGGCACCAGAGAAGAAUGGUAUUCUCUUUAUAUCAUGGGCACCACAAGUAGGCUAGAGAAGCAGUCAUAGUGCUAUGGACUUGGGGAGGAAAAAAGACAUCCUGGUUAGUUUCUGGAUAUUUUUUUUUUUCCCCAAGCAGUUGAGUUUGUCUAGCCCCUGGGCAUGCUUGAAGUUUGGAUAGAUAUUUUUUUAUAUACUUUCCAAAGCAGUUUUGAUCUACUUCUGGUUUUGCAAAUAGGCCUUUCAGUAUUUUGGCUUUGUUUUACCCACUUGACUACUCUGCAGAAAAAAAAGGCAAGGAAAAUUUUUAAAUGUGUAGAGAAUAGGGUAACUUGAAGCAUCAGUUCUUUUUGAAAUUAUUUUUGUUGUGACUUGCUUUGCAGUAUGAACUAGUACUCAAGAUCAAAAAGUGACUAGGUUGGACAAUUGUGUAGAUGUGCAUUUUUCCUAUGCCUUGCACAGCUGAGUCACACCAGAAGAUGGGAGAUCUGGUUGGGACAUAAAUUCUCAUGACACUUUAUUAUGUCAUUUUAUGAUAUCUAUUUAAAAAAGUAUAGUGAAAGGUCACUUUUAAAAAUAAUAUUAAUUCUUAUGCUUUAAAACCUUUGUGGAGGGUUUUAAAUCAUGACCUCAAGAAGUGUUUCUAUGAGAUGUCUGUUGGUGGGGGGCUGACCUAGGCUUAACCAAAACUGUGCAUCCCAGCACCUCCAAGAAAGGUGAACCUUCUUUGCACCUUAAAGCAUUUUAGAUCAAUGGGCUUUAAUGUUUGCAAGUUGAUGCACACAAACAUAUGUGUUUUUCCCAUGGAAGUGUAGAGACCAUUUAAAACAUUUCACAUAAGUAGAUUCCUUCAUAGUAUAAAUAAACUUGCUCUUCUUAGCUGCCUUUCACAGGCCUCUUGCUAAUAGUUCCCAUGUCUUCCACAGAGCACAGAUCAGAAGCUGCCUUGAGUUUAGAUUAUUCAGCAGAGAGAUUCUUUACUGGCUAAUGCGCUUUUCCUUUCUGGUUCAUCUGCAUUAGCUCAAUGCCACAAUGUUUAGGCUCCGAACUCUGUAAGGGAAUGUCUAAUCAAAAUAAUAAUAAUUGAUCCUCAAAAAGGGUUUCAAAACCUGCAUUUUUGGCUUCAACAAAUUGCCCGUAUUGCAAACAUACAUCUGUAUUACAGAGAAGCACAAGGAGACCCUUGACUCAGCUCAGCACUUCAGAGCACACUUAAAAUAAGCUCAACUUCAGCUUCUAAGUGCUUUGCUCACUUGGGACUGAAGGGUAUGGUCCUGGCCACGGCUGAACCAAAGGGAGAUUUGCCAUGUGCUUGAAUUUAAGAAAGGCUGGCUGUGUAAGCCAUAUUUAUUGCCAGUUCUUUCAGUUGUGCCAGUUAAAUUGAAAUUAAAAUAAUGGCUUCAUAUUCUGUCAAAGUUUGACAAAUUCUGCUAAUUUAGUAUUUAUUAAAAUUACUAAACAGUGGUCAUCUUAAUAACUGAUUCAUCUCAGAAUCGUCUUCCUGAGGAUUCUAUGGACAGUUUUCCUGCUUUUUUACCCUCAUAACUUCAACACCAAGGCUUCUACUGAAAGUGACAAAGAUUAAGCACAACUUUCAGAAGUAUCUGUUACUUAGCUUCCUGAAACCCACAGCUUCAGAGUCAGAUGUCUAGGUGCUUUGUCCUGGGCCACUGGUAGUUGGCCAGUUCUGAAACCUUUGUUUAUGGACAGUUUGUGUGUUCUGAGUUGUCUGUGACUACCACCAUCACUGUUAAAUUACCAGUUCCUGCUCUAGUGUGCUU
rnacentral:lncRNA from 1 species